UACGAAGGGUGCAAGCGUUACUCGGAAUUACUGGGCGUAAAGCGUGCGUAGGUGGUUUGUUAAGUCUGUUGUGAAAGCCCCGGGCUCAACCUGGGAAUGGCAAUGGAUACUGGCAAGCUAGAGUGCGGUAGAGGGUAGUGGAAUUCCCGGUGUAGCGGUGAAAUGCGCAGAUAUCAGGAAGAACACCCGUGGCGAAGGCGGUUCUCUGGGACGGUACUGACGCUGAGACGCGAAAGCGUGGGGAGCGAACAGG
rnacentral:rRNA from 1 species